AUUGAACGCUGGCGGCAGGCCUAACACAUGCGAGUCGAACGAAGUCUUCGGACUUAGUGGCGGACGGGUGAGUAACACGUGGGAACGUACCUUUUGGUUCGGAACAACUCAGGGAAACUUGAGCUAAUACCGGAUGAGCCCUUAGGGGGAAAGAUUUAUCGCCGAAAGAGCGGCCCGCGUUAGAUUAGCUAGUUGGUGAGGUAAAGGCUCACCAAGGCUACGAUCUAUAGCUGGUCUGAGAGGAUGAUCAGCCACACUGGGACUGAGACACGGCCCAGACUCCUACGGGAGGCAGCAGUGGGGAAUCUUGCGCAAUGGGCGAAAGCCUGACGCAGCCAUGCCGCGUGAAUGAUGAAGGUCUUAGGAUCGUAAAAUUCUUUUACCAGGGACGAUAAUGACGGUACCUGGAGAAAAAGCCCCGGCUAACUUCGUGCCAGCAGCCGCCGUAACAC
rnacentral:rRNA from 1 species